UACGUAGGGUGCGAGCGUUGUCCGGAAUUACUGGGCGUAAAGGGCGCGUAGGCGGCAAUUCAAGUCAUCUGUGAAAUCUCCGGGCUUAACUCGGAACGGUCAGAUGAUACUGCUUUGCUAGAGUGCGGAAGGGGCAAUCGGAAUUCUUGGUGUAGCGGUGAAAUGCGUAGAUAUCAAGUGGAACACCAGUGGCGAAGGCGAAUCCCUGGAAAAUACCUGACACUGAGGCACGAAAGCUAGGGGAGCAAACAGG
rnacentral:rRNA from 1 species